AUUGAACGCUGGCGGCAUGCUUUACACAUGCAAGUCGAACGGUAACAGGCCGCAAGGUGCUGACGAGUGGCGAACGGGUGAGUAAUGCAUCGGAACGUGCCCAGUUGUGGGGGAUAACUGCUCGAAAGAGCAGCUAAUACCGCAUACGAUCUAUGGAUGAAAGCGGGGGACCGUAAGGCCUCGCGCGAUUGGAGCGGCCGAUGUCAGAUUAGGUAGUUGGUGGGGUAAAGGCUCACCAAGCCAACGAUCUGUAGCUGGUCUGAGAGGACGACCAGCCACACUGGGACUGAGACACGGCCCAGACUCCUACGGGAGGCAGCAGUGGGGAAUUUUGGACAAUGGGCGCAAGCCUGAUCCAGCAAUGCCGCGUGCAGGAAGAAGGCCUUCGGGUUGUAAACUGCUUUUGUACGGAACGAAACGGCUCUGGUUAAUACCUGGGGCUAAUGACGGUACCGUAGAAUAAGCACCGGCUAACUACGUGCCAGCCGCCGCCGUAACAC
rnacentral:rRNA from 1 species